AUCACUUUUAUUUGGAUAUAAUUCACUAGAUGUGAUAGAAAAAUGACAAACUUUGUUUUAGAGCAGGUGCAGUGACUUUUUAUUAUGCUAAUUAACAAUUGCCAUCACGAAGAUGCUGCAAAAUGACCUGUCGAUCCUGGUCUCCCAGUUCGUGGCCUGUCAUUGACAGAGUGUGUCUGGUUAUACCGUCUUGCCAGGUUUAAAAAUUCCCGGCUGUGAGCACCCAAGAUGGCGAGCCACAGUACGCUGCCCUAGUCCAGCCUCCAACAUGCCGAUUGCACAAAGGCGCUGCUCUUUUGAUAGAUGUGGCAUAUUGUUUUUUUUCUGUGAUUUUCUUUAUUGCUUUUAUUCAAGCUUGCAAUUCAAUAGCUGAAUUCACUCCAUAUCCAGUGUCCAAUGAACUGUCUCACAGAUUUUUUGUGGGUUGUAGUAGUAUAUAUAGGGAGUCUGAGAGAAAAAAAUGACACCAAAGUUUGGUGCUUCUUUCAUUUGUUUGGUGUGCAAGGUAAUCAAACAUGCAAUCUUCAGGUGUGAAAAAGUUAUUGCCCCCCCCCAGUUAACUCAACCCAAUUAAAGGGAUAAUUAGGGUCAGCUGUUUGAGUACUUUGGUUAACAACCAGGCCUGAUUUGUGCCAGCCCUACCCAACAUAAAUCUGACUAACUUUUGCCCUUACCAUCAGAGUGAAGUUGUCAGCACACAGGUUCAAGAGGCACAUAAUGCCACGAACAAAAGAAAUUCCUGAAGACCUACGGAAAAAAGUUGAUGCCUAUCAGUCUGGAAAGGGUUACAAAGCCAUUUCUAAGGCUCUGGGGCUCCACCGAACCACAGUCAGCAUCAUAUUGUCCAAAUGGAGAAAGUUUGGGACAGUAGUGAAUCUUCCCAGGAGUGGCCAUCCUACCAAAAUCUCUCCCAAGAGCAAGGCGUAAAAUCAUCCAGGAAGUCACAAAGAACCCUAGAACAACAUCCAGGGAUCUGCAGGCCUCUCUCGCCUCGGCUAAGGUCAGUGUUCAUGACUCCACCAUCAGAAAGACACUGGGCAAAAAUGGGAUUCAUGGCAGAGUAGCAAGGCGGAAACCAUUGCUCACUAAGAAGAACAUGAAUGCUCAUGUCAAGUUUGCCAAAAAGCACCUGGAUGAUCCUCAAGAGUUCUGGAACAAUGUUCUAUGGACAGAUGAGUCAAAAGUGGAACUUUUUGGCCGACAUGGGCCCUGUUAUGUCUGGCGAAAAACAAACACUGCAUUCCACAGUAAGAACCUCAUACCAAUGGUCAAGCAUGGUGGUGGUAGUGUCAUGGUUUGGGGAUGCUUUGCUGCAUCAGGACCUGUACGCCUUGCCAUCAUUUAAGGAACCAUGAAUUCUGCUCUGUAUCAGAGAAUUCUACAGGAGAAUGUCAGGCCAUCCGUCCGUGAGCUGAAGCUGAAGCACAGCUGGGUCAUGCAGCAAGACAAUGAUCCGAAACACACAAGCAAGUCUACAUCAGAAUGGUUAAAGAACAAGAAAUUUAAAGUUUUGGAAUGGCCUAGUCAAAGUCCAGACCUAAAACCCAUUGAGAUGUUGUGGCAGGACCUGAAAUGAGCAGUUCAUGCUCUAAAACCCACAAAUAUCACUGAGUUGAAGCAGUUCUGCAUGGAGGAGUGGGCCAAAAAUUCUCCACGGCCCUGUGAGAGACUAAUCAAUAACUGCAGGAAGCGUUUGGUUGCAGUUCUUGCUGCUAAAGGUGGCGUAACCAGUUAUUGAGUCUAAGGGGGCGAUUACUUUUUCACACAGGGGCAUUGGGUGUUGCAUAACUUUCUUUAAUAAAUAAAUGAAAUAUGUAUCAAAUUUUUGUGUUAUUUGUUCACUCGGGUCCCUUUUAUCUAAUAUUAGGUUUUGGUUGAAGAUGUGAUAACAUUCAGUGUCAAAAAUAUGCAAAAAUGCAGAAAUUCAGAGAGGGGGCAAAUACUUUUUACAGCACUGUAUACUGUGAACAAUGUGUUCUGUUUUUGUUGUGGUAGCCAACUGGCAAUAUGAAAGGUGACCCUGGAGACAGACAUACUUUUUGAAAAGUAGGCAGUUUAUUAUAAUUUAUAUUUUAAAUUGUUCACACUGAACAAACACUUUUCAUAAAAAGAAAAUAACAAAAGAAAACCUGCCCACUUGGGCCCUAGCUAAACUUCUUGAGGGCCCUAUGCUCGGCCUUGCAUGGGCUACUCUCAGUGCAAGUGAAAACACAAUUAUAAACAAACUGUUGUCCAGUCCAGGUUUUACCAAUCUCCACCGAGUUAAUUGAAGUCACCUCUUUGAAGUCUUCAAACACAGAUACACACAAGGUAAGCAACACAUUCACAAGUAAUUUUUUAAUCCACAAGUGAAUUGGUUGUAACUAUAGUUUAUUCAUUUUCCAGGUUUUUGUUCUCUCCACACAAGAGUUUGGCGCCCCUCUGGCCCACACAGGUUCUCUGGAGACCUCUACUGGCGAAAUCCAGGACUACAAUCAGCUCGUGCUUCAAUGUCCUGGCUGGUACAUAACACCGUGACUAAAUAAAACACUAAAACAGUCAAUGUCGUUUGUAAUUGUUGCACUUCACCUUUUUUGAGCAGUUCAUUAAGGAAAUAAGUCUAGCUUUUUUUUUUUU